UACGUAGGGGGCUAGCGUUGUCCGGAAUCAUUGGGCGUAAAGCGCGUGUAAGCGGUCCGGUAAGUCCGCUGUGAAAGUCGGGGGCUCAACCCUCGAAUGCCGGUGGAUACUGUCGGGCUAGAGUGCGGAAGAGGCGAGUGGAAUUCCUGGUGUAGCGGUGAAAUGCGCAGAUAUCAGGAGGAACACCAAUUGCGAAGGCAGCUCGCUGGGACGUAACUGACGCUGAGACGCGAAAGCGUGGGGAGCAAACAGG
rnacentral:rRNA from 1 species